AACGAACGCUGGCGGCAGGCCUAAAACAUGCAAGUCGAACGCUGUAGCAAUACAGAGUGGCGCACGGGUGAGUAACACGUGGGAAUGUGCCUUUUGGUACGGAACAACUUUUGGAAACGAAAGCUAAUACCGUAUGGUCCCUUCGGGGUAAAGAUCUAUCGCCAAAAGAGCAGCCCGCGUCUGAUUAGCUAGUUGGUGAGGUAAUGGCUCACCAAGGCGACGAUCAGUAGCUGGUCUGAGAGGACGAUCAGCCACACUGGGACUGCGACACGGCCCAGACUCCUACGGGAGGCAGCAGUUAGGAAUAUUGGACAAUGGGCGCAAGCCUGAUCCAGCCAUGCCGCGUGAGUGAUGAAGGCCUUCGGGUUGUAAAGCUCUUUAGCCGAUGAAUAUAAUGACUGUAGUCGGAAAAUAAGCCCCGGCUAACUUCGUGCCAGCAGCCGCCGUAA
rnacentral:rRNA from 1 species